rnacentral:tRNA from 1 species
UCCUUAGCUCAGUGGCAGAGCACUAGUCUUGUAAAUUAGGGGUCAUGCGUUCAUUUCACAUAGGA